rnacentral:rRNA from 1 species
AACGAACGCUGGCGGCAGGCUUAACACAUGCAAGUCGAGCGGAUGAGGGGUGCUUGCACCCCGAUUCAGCGGCGGACGGGUGAGUAAUGCCUAGGAAUCUGCCCGAUAGUGGGGGACAACGUUUCGAAAGGAACGCUAAUACCGCAUACGUCCUACGGGAGAAAGUGGGGGCUCUUCGGACCUCACGCUAUCGGAUGAGCCUAGGUCGGAUUAGCUAGUUGGUGGGGUAAAGGCUCACCAAGGCGACGAUCCGUAGCUGGUCUGAGAGGAUGAUCAGUCACACUGGAACUGAGACACGGCCCAGACUCCUACGGGAGGCAGCAGUGGGGAAUAUUGGACAAUGGGCGAAAGCCUGAUCCAGCCAUGCCGCGUGUGUGAAGAAGGUCUUCGGAUUGUAAAGCACUUUAAGUCGGGAGGAAGGGCUGCAGGUUAAUACCUUGCAGCCUUGACGUUACCGACAGAAUAAGCACCGGCUAACUUCGUGCCAGCCGCCGCAGUAA